CCUACGGGAGGCAGCAGUGGGGAAUUUUGGACAAUGGACGCAAGUCUGAUCCAGCCAUGCCGCGUGUGGGAAGAAGGCCUUCGGGUUGUAAACCACUUUUGUCAGGGAAGAAACGGCUCGGGUUAAUACCUUGGGCUAAUGACGGUACCUGAAGAAUAAGCACCGGCUAACUACGUGCCAGCAGCCGCGGUAAUACGUAGGGUGCAAGCGUUAAUCGGAAUUACUGGGCGUAAAGCGUGCGCAGGCGGUUAUGCAAGACAGAUGUGAAAUCCCCGGGCUCAACCUGGGAACUGCAUUUGUGACUGCAUGGCUAGAGUACGGUAGAGGGGGAUGGAAUUCCGCGUGUAGCAGUGAAAUGCGUAGAUAUGCGGAGGAACACCGAUGGCGAAGGCAAUCCCCUGGACCUGUACUGACGCUCAUGCACGAAAGCGUGGGGAGCAAACAGGAUUAGAUACCCUGGUAGUCCACGCCCUAAACGAUGUCAACUGGUUGUUGGGAGGGUUUCUUCUCAGUAACGUAGCUAACGCGUGAAGUUGACCGCCUGGGGAGUACGGCGCAAGUUGAAACUCAAAGAUGAGGCGNGNGAGNGCGAGAGAGAGAGGAGGAG
rnacentral:rRNA from 1 species